UACGUGAGGGGCGAACGUUGUUCGGGGUCACUGGGCUUAAAGGGUGCGUAGGUGGUUGCGUAAGUAAGGUGUGAAAGCCCUCGGCUUACCCGGGGAAUUGCGCCUUUACUGCGUGACUUGAGGAUUUCAGGGGAAUGGGGAACUCCAGGUGUAGCGGUGAAAUGCGCAGAUAUCUGGGGGAAGGCCGGCGGCGAAGGCGCCAUUCUGGGAAAUUCCUGACACUGAGGCACGAAAGCGUGGGGAGCAAACAGG
rnacentral:rRNA from 1 species